rnacentral:rRNA from 1 species
AUACGGAGGAUGCAAGCGUUAUCCGGAUUUAUUGGGUUUAAAGGGUGCGUAGGCGGUUUGCUAAGCGGGAGGUGAAAUGCCGGCGCUCAACAGUGGAACUGCCUCGCGAACUGGUUGUCUUGAAUGCUCCUGCCGUGGGAGGAAUGGGUGGUGUAGCGGUGAAAUGCAUAGAGAUCACACAGAACACCGAUUGCGAAGGCAUCUCACGAAGGGGUGAUUGACGCUGAGGCACGAAAGCGUGGGGAUCAAACAGGAUUAGAUACCCUGGUAGUCCACGCAGUAAACGAUGAUAACUAACCGCUGGGUCGUAGUGAUUCAGUGGCCAAGCGAAAGCGAUAAGUUAUCCACCUGGGGAGUACGACCGCAAGGUUGAAACUCAAAUGAAUUGGCGGGG